UAGUGUAUCAUGCUAUAUUGCUAGAAUUUUCUUCAUUUUAUCACUAUGAUACAUUAAUCAAGACUUCCUACUACGUCUCUCUUUUCAGAGCUGGGCUGAUAUGAAAGGUCGCGUCAAAGAGGCAGCGGCUAAGGUGUACCACACUCCUACUGGCAAUGGCAGUAAAGAGGAAGAGUUUGGAGUUGCUCCUCAGACCCUCUCAGAGGAGGAUGAAAAAAUCUAUAAACUUUGCGGGGGCGCUGAUUUCAUCGGCUCUGGCCCUGAUGAUGAGAUAGGCAUUCGAAAGCAUGCAGCGACCACAGUCUUAUAGGACUCGAAUUUAGAAGCGGUGGAAAGGAGUUGUUCGCCAUGGUUACAGAGAGAACAGUUUUGAAGGACUGAGUACUUUUUCGAGUUCAAAAUGAAGAGUUGUGUUCAAAGAUGGAUGACGAUUCUAAUUUAAAGCUGCCAGCGUUGGAGGUCGUCUGCUCGUCAAUACAAGAUCAACUUGAUGGUUUCACUAGAUUUGUGCAGUCUAAUGAUCCUGACAUUGUCGAAUUGGAGACGGUGCGCAAUUUUCUAGAGAAAAUCGGUGAAAGUAACCCCGUCCUAUACUAUCUUUCAAAUGGGAACAGCUCAUGGAGAGUUAAAAUGUUCUCAUUACUGGCCAUGGAGGUACGAGCGCUGAGCAACUAUAUCGUUAGCGUGAACGUCGACAAUUUUGCGGAAGGAUUGGAGACGGGCCCGCUUUCCAGGACUAAAUCCGGACAGAGUAGGUCGAUGCCGUUAAACCCUCGUGGCGAGGUAUGGCCUUCCACAGUUUAUAAUCAUCUGCAUAAAAUACGACUCCUGAAUCCGGACGACGAACCAGACGAACCAGGCGAUGAUACAAUUCGAUCAAAAAGACAGGCAUCUCCUCUUCCAGAAGCAGAGCUACGCAAUGCCUCACAACAGACGACACUUCCACACAAAAAAAGACCUAUCAUAGCAAGUCCUGUCCAGAAAAACCCGCAAGAGCAAUUGCUGGACUCGCUAACGCAGAAACUUGAUGACGAUUACGGUCAGUUUGACGCCAGCGACAGUGAAGAUACGGCCGGCAGAAAGAUCUCUUCAGCGCCAAACAACAUUUGGCUUCGAACCCCAAGUCAUUCAUAGUUGGGCAGGAAUACGAUGGCAGCGGUAGCGAUCCUGGUGGCUGUGGGUCUCCCCGGAAGCCUUGUAUAAUUAUAUGAAAGAAAAGACGAAGAACUUCUCCCGCAAUUAUCCGAGCCUCUACGAGGUAAUCACCGAAGAGCGAGGAGUUAAGCCAUACCUGGAUCUGGAAUGGGUGAAGGGGGAUGGUGACGACGAAGAGCAUAUUUUCAAUAAUUUCAGAGAGUUGUGGGAAAUUUUAUGAUCAUGACUGUUGCUCCUGCUUCCCUAAAACAUUUAUAUGGUCAAAUCGUC
rnacentral:lncRNA from 1 species